AUGCAACAACCGGCACUAUUGAUAUUAUCAAUAAAGAGCAUCAUUACUACUAUUGUUUAAGGGACUAAAUUUCGUAAUCUCGUAUCAUUUACCGUUGUAUUUGUGUAAGUCAUAAAUGAUUAUUGAAAUGAGUACGGCUUAAUACAUACACUCAGCAACGCACAAGGGAUUUUGACUAUGUUGGGAUUUCGGUGUAAGUAUUUCACCUGGACUCUUUUGCCAUAGAAUGAAUUGAUUUAUGAUAAAAUUUAAAAAGAACAUUGUCUGUGCAUAUGUGUU